rfam:Ictidomys tridecemlineatus contig031666, whole genome shotgun sequence.
GAGGUUGUGGCUCAGUGGUAGAGCACUUGCCUAGCAUGUGUGAGGCCCUGGGUUUGAGUCUCAGCACCGCA